rnacentral:rRNA from 1 species
GAGUUUGAUCCUGGCUCAGAUUGAACGCUGGCGGCAGGCCUAACACAUGCAAGUCGAGCGGAUGACGGGAGCUUGCUCCUUGAUUCAGCGGCGGACGGGUGAGUAAUGCCUAGGAAUCUGCCUGGUAGUGGGGGACAACGUUUCGAAAGGAACGCUAAUACCGCAUACGUCCUACGGGAGAAAGCAGGGGACCUUCGGGCCUUGCGCUAUCAGAUGAGCCUAGGUCGGAUUAGCUAGUUGGUGGGGUAAUGGCUCACCAAGGCGACGAUCCGUAACUGGUCUGAGAGGAUGAUCAGUCACACUGGAACUGAGACACGGUCCAGACUCCUACGGGAGGCAGCAGUGGGGAAUAUUGGACAAUGGGCGAAAGCCUGAUCCAGCCAUGCCGCGUGUGUGAAGAAGGUCUUCGGAUUGUAAAGCACUUUAAGUUGGGAGGAAGGGCAGUAAGUUAAUACCUUGCUGUUUUGACGUUACCGACAGAAUAAGCACCGGCUAACUCUGUGCCAGCA